UUUACUGUAACUCUGUAAAAGAUAAGGAACAGUUUUAUGUUUCCAAUAGUUUGAAACGACAACUUUUUCAGACAAACAUUGCAGUUUUGGUAAAAGCUGAUGAUUAGAAAAAUAGAAUGUACGAAAUAAAAAUUUGUCACAUAGGAACUGCCUUCUAAAUUUGAGAGGGGGAUCACAACAUUCAACUUGAAGUGCAUUUACUGGACUACUUUUCAUUGCUCCUGUUACAAUUCUAAGGGCUUUAGAUUGAAUAAGAUCUAGUUUUCUAAAAGCUGAUUUGUUACCAGGCUCUAGAAGGAAUGUACCGUAGUCUAAAACACUUCUAAUGAGAGCAUUGUAAAUAAGUUUCAUUGAAUAAGGGUGAGCUCCCCACCAUACACCAGAUAGGCAUCUAAGCAGAUUUACCCUUUUUUCACAUUUUUCUACUAUAUACUCACAAUGCUGGCGUCCAGUCAGUUUCGAAUCAAGAAUUAUUCCCAGAAAUUUGUGAAAAGGUUUAACAGGGAUAACAUCAAUAUCAUAUGUAAUUUGAACAGGUGGAGGGUUCUUAGAUCUGGAAAAAACUACUAUGGCACUUUUGUUUGCGGUUAAGUUUAAACCAUUUUUAUCAAGCCAAGAUUUUAAAUUUGAUAAUGAGAAUGUCAGAGUUGUCGCAGCUUCAUCUAUUUUUUUAUUAAUAUUAUACAACAACAAGUCAUCAGCAUAUUGGAGAAUUUUUAUAUUGCAAUUAUUAGAGAUUGAUGAUGCUAGAUCGUGAGUGUAAACAUUAUACAGCAAAGGACUAAGGACAGAACCUUGUGGAAGGCCUUUCCAGCAAGUGCGCUUGAACGUAGAGUCACCUUGUGACAGAUCUAGACACCUUUCAUAUAAAAUAUUUAUAAUAAGAUUGCAUAACAUUGUAGGGACAUUUAGAGAAUAAAGUUUAUUAAGCAAUAUCGGGAUUAGGACGUUAUCAUAUGCUGUGUUUACAUCUAGAAAAGCUGCUACAACCGAUUGAUUAUCAGAAAAAGCAAGCCGGAUAUCUGUAAUGAGUAUACUGAUACUAUCCAUGGUACUUUUUCCCUUUCUAAAACCAAAUUGACUAUCGGCAAGCAAAUCAUUACAUUCAAGAAACCAUUCGAGUCGAUUUUUAAUUAGGUGUUCAGCUAGUUUUAUUAAUACUGAGGAAAGAACUAUUGGGCGAUACGAAGAUGGGUCUGACGGGGACUUAUUUGGUUUAAGGAUUGGCAACACUUUUUGAAACUUCCAUGACAGAGGGACGUCACUACCUGUCAUCGCAAUUGAAUUGAUGAUUUCCAAAUAAUAUGAGAGUACUUGAUCAUCUAAGUUAUGAAAGAAGGAAUACGGGAUACCAUCUGCACCUGGAGACGAAUCAGAAACGUUUUGUAUGAUUCCCUUAAGUUCAAACAGUGAAAAUGGCCGGUCAAUGGCAGACACAGGGUCUGGGACUGGCGAAGUUAGGGUUAGAGGACAACACGUCUGCAUAGGACUUUGAGGCUGGAGGGUGAAUCUUGGAAGCCUCUGCAUAUGAGAUGGAAUUUUCAGCCAUAUAAGACUUAAUUUUUUUCUGACGGAUGAAUUCUGGGCAUGACUUGCUAGUUGCAAAGUGGAAACCGGAGCAAAGACAACAGGAAGCUUGGUCUUCAUAAACAGAGCACGAAUCUCCCAUGUGGGCCUGCCCACACUUAAAACAGCGAGGCUGGGACCUACAUUGGGCCUUUGUAUGACCAAAUCGGCAACAAUUAAAACAUUGUACUGUAGGGAAGAUAUACAAUUCAACUGGUAAAGCAUUGUAGCAAAUAAAUACUCUUUUUGGUAAGGUUUGUCCGUCAAAUGUUACAACAACUGAUUGAGAGGGUUUCCAAGAAACUGAACCAUUAUUAAAAGAUUUAAAAUUCA